UACGAAGGGGGCUAGCGUUGCUCGGAAUCACUGGGCGUAAAGGGUGCGUAGGCGGGUCUUUUAAGUCAGGGGUGAAAUCCUGGAGCUCAACUCCAGAACUGCCUUUGAUACUGAGGAUCUUGAGUUCGGGAGAGGUGAGUGGAACUGCGAGUGUAGAGGUGAAAUUCGUAGAUAUUCGCAAGAACACCAGUGGCGAAGGCGGCUCACUGGCCUGAUACUGACGCUGAGGCACGAAAGCGUGGGGAGCAAACAGG
rnacentral:rRNA from 1 species